AUUGAACGCUGGCGGAAUGCUUUACACAUGCAAGUCGAACGGCAGCACGGACUUCGGUCUGGUGGCGAGUGGCGAACGGGUGAGUAAUGUAUCGGAACGUGCCCAGUCGUGGGGGAUAACGUAGUGAAAAUUACGCUAAUACCGCAUACGAUCUAUGGAUGAAAGCGGGGGAUCGCAAGACCUCGCGCGAUUGGAGCGGCCGAUAUCAGAUUAGGUAGUUGGUGGGGUAAAGGCCCGCCAAGCCAACGAUCUGUAGCUGGUCUGAGAGGACGACCAGCCACACUGGAACUGAGACACGGUCCAGACUCCUACGGGAGGCAGCAGUGGGGAAUUUUGGACAAUGGGCGAAAGCCUGAUCCAGCCAUUCCGCGUGCAGGAUGAAGGCCCUCGGGUUGUAAACUGCUUUUGUACAGAACGAAGAGGUUUCUACUAAUACUAGGAGCUCAUGACGGUACUGUAAGAAUAAGCACCGGCUAACUACGUGCCAGCAGCCGCCGAAA
rnacentral:rRNA from 1 species